AGAGUUUGAUCCUGGCUCAGGAUGAACGCUGGCGGCGUGCUUAACACAUGCAAGUCGAACGAAGCACCUUAUUCUGAUUUCUUCGGAAUGAAAAAUUUGGUGACUGAGUGGCGGACGGGUGAGUAACGCGUGGGUAACCUGCCUCAUACAGGGGGAUAACAGUUAGAGAUGACUGCUAAUACCGCAUAAGACCACAGCACCGCAUGGUGCAGGGGUAAAAACUCCGGUGGUAUGAGAUGGACCCGCGUCUGAUUAGGUAGUUGGUGGGGUAACGGCCUACCAAGCCGACGAUCAGUAGCCGACCUGAGAGGGUGACCGGCCACAUUGGGACUGAGACACGGCCCAAACUCCUACGGGAGGCAGCAGUGGGGAAUAUUGCACAAUGGGGGAAACCCUGAUGCAGCGACGCCGCGUGAGCGAUGAAGUAUUUCGGUAUGUAAAGCUCUAUCAGCAGGGAAGAUAAUGACGGUACCUGACUAAGAAGCCCUGGCUAACUACGUGCCAGCAGCCGCGGUAAUACGUAGGGGGCGAGCGUUAUCCGGAUUUACUGGGUGUAAAGGGAGCGUAGACGGCGUAUCAAGUCUGAUGUGAAAGGCAGGGGCUUAACCCCUGGACUGCAUUGGAAACUGGUAUGCUUGAGUGCCGGAGGGGUAAGCGGAAUUCCUAGUGUAGCGGUGAAAUGCGUAGAUAUUAGGAGGAACACCAGUGGCGAAGGCGGCUUACUGGACGGUAACUGACGUUGAGGCUCGAAAGCGUGGGGAGCAAACAGGAUUAGAUACCCUGGUAGUCCACGCCGUAAACGAUG
rnacentral:rRNA from 1 species